CUGCUGGAGUCCGAUGGUUGACACCAGGUCUGAGGAAGUAUUCCUGUCAACUCACAAUCGACACAAACACAGUGAGCAGAAAACUUAAACUGGCUGAAAACAGCAGGGAGGUGACAUUUGUGGAGGAGCUUCAGUCAUAUCCUGAUCAUCCAGACAGAUUUGAUCGUCCUCAGCUGCUGUGUAGAACUGGUCUGACUGGUCGCUGUUAUUGGGAGGUCGAGUGGAGAGGAGACGUUAAUAUAUCAGUGAGUUACAGAAGAAUCAGGAGGAAAGGAGACAUUAGAGACUGUUGGUUUGGAUGGAAUGAUCAGUCCUGGAGUCUGAGAUGCUCUGAUCGUCAUGGUUACUCUGUCUAUCACUAUAACA